GACGUAGGGUGCGAGCGUUGUCCGGAUUUAUUGGGCGUAAAGAGCUCGUAGGCGGUCUGUCGCGUCUGCUGUGAAAACUCAGGGCUUAACCCUGAGCUUGCAGUGGGUACGGGCAGACUAGAGUGCGGUAGGGGAGACUGGAAUUCCUGGUGUAGAGGUGAAAUUCGUAGAUAUUAGGAAGAACACCAGUGGCGAAGGCGGCUCACUGGCUCGGUACUGACGCUGAGGCGCGAAAGCGUGGGGAGCAAACAGG
rnacentral:rRNA from 1 species